CACUGGGCGGAAGCAUCGUGAUUUCCUGGCCCGGGGUUCUGUGAGGUCACAGAUGAGUGCUGUGAGAGAACCUAGAGGUCAGCUGGAGUUGUAUUUUGGGAGGAGACUGAUCAGUUUAUCGCAUCAUAAAGAGAGAAAGAGGGUGCAAAGCCAAGACAUGAGCCAGUGGGACCACAGGCUUCCCAUGAAUCAGUGAACCAAAGAAUAAAUGAUGAGCUAGCGUCCGCUCCGACGGUGGAGGGGUCCUCAUCUAGGGCAGAAGGCGAGAGUCCUGCAAACCUGGGCUUAACUGCAUGAAGGUCAUUUGGUCCACGCGUGAGACUGAUUUUAAAAACGGGGAGAGGAAAUGUCUAACCACUCCCGGUGCUCCCUGUCCACCACGAUGCAAGGAGAGCAAGAUGAUGUAAACAUGAGUGGGAGAACAGCUUGGUCACUCUGCGGAGAAGAGAGGUGCAAGUGGGACAGAACUUCCUUCCCCCCGAGGUCUUCAUUCCUUUAGGGCUCCGGGUGGGUGGUGUCAUGAGAUAAGGCCGGGUGCUGGAUUCAUUUACUGUUGCUGCGCUACACAGGACAACAGCUUUAGUGGCCUUAAACGACACAUUUAUUAGCUCACGCUGUAUGCUCAUCAGGAAACCCUAGCUCCAUGUUCUGCUCAGCUUUUCUUAAGCUUGCAACCGAGGCACUAAUUACACUGGACUCUCAUUUGGACUGGCAGCUAGAAAAGACCCUUUCUACUCUCCCUCGGGUAGGGACAGACGAUUUUCUUUCAGCUGUGUGACUAAGAACAUCAGCUUCCUAUGGGCUGGAGAAUGGAGGCUGCAUAUCCUGGAGGCCACCUCAGUUCCCUGCCGUGUGUCCCUGUUUAUGGGAGCUGGAAAACAGCUGUUUCACUCUCUCCAGCUUGUACAGGAGGAGUCAUAUAGUGUCGUGUCAGCUAUGUCACAGAUGCCAUCACGGGGGGGCGUCACACAGGGUGACUCACUGAGGACUACCUUGGGGCAUCUCCAGCAGUCACUCACCUCCGGUCAGGGUCUGGUAGGAGGUUCUGACAGGAUGGAUAUUGGAUUUAGAGAGAAAGAAGAGGGAAAGGGACAUAGUUAUGAGGGGAGGAAGACCCCAUCCUUGUAUGUCACGUCUGUGAGGGCAAUGCCCUGGCCGGCUCCACAGGGAGGUGUGAAGGAAUGGGCCCUAUAGCCAAUGUGAAUCUAGUUUAGACCUUAGGUUGGAGGGCGGCAGCCAUCCAUGAGGCUCCUCUGAGACUCUCGUCAAAGACAAGGCCACACGAGACUCUGAGGCCGAGCCAGAAGGGACACCAGGGGUCAUCGUGGUUGUCUGAGCAGGUAUCUGGAAUCAUGGACACUCAAAAUCAACAGCAUGUAGUAUAUUUUGUACUGCCGUGGCUCCUGUUUUCUAGAGGUUGUUCCCUCUAGUUCACUUCUGGCUAAAGUUAUUCAUCCUAAAAUGUUAAGCCCAAGUAACGCUAUCUGACUCCCUGAGCACAUCCCCCCUCCAUUUCUGAUCAGUCACCUUCUCUGCCAACAAAGAACCUGCACUUGCCUUCUUCUGAGCAUUCUGUUGUUGUGGAGGCCUUGUGUUGAAGCCUUGGUCACAAGGCUGUGAUGUUGUUGGGAGGAAGUGGAAUCUCUAGGAGGUGUGGCCUAGUGGGAGGAAGUCAGGUCAUUGGAGGCUGGGCCUUGAAGAGGAUAUUGGAACCUGGUACCUUCUCUCUCUGCAAACUUGUCACCAUGAAAUGAGCAGCUUUGCUACACUCUGCUGCCGUCAUGAUGUUCUCUCACCACAGGCCCCAAAGCAGUGGAGCCAACCACCUGUGGACUGAAAUGUCUAAAACUAUG